GGCGGCAGGCCUAACACAUGCAAGUCGAGCGGCAGCGGGUCCUUCGGGAUGCCGGCGAGCGGCGGACGGGUGAGGAAUGCGUCGGAAUCUGCCUUUUUGUGGGGGAUAACGUAGGGAAACUUACGCUAAUACCGCAUACGACCUACGGGUGAAAGUGGGGGACCUUCGGGCCUCACGCAGAAAGAUGAGCCGACGCCGGAUUAGCUAGUUGGCGGGGUAAAGGCCCACCAAGGCGACGAUCCGUAGCCGGUCUGAGAGGAUGAUCAGCCACACUGGAACUGAGACACGGUCCAGACUCCUACGGGAGGCAGCAGUGGGGAAUAUUGGACAAUGGGCGCAAGCCUGAUCCAGCCAUGCCGCGCGAGUGAAGAAGGCCUUCGGGUUGUAAAGCUCUUUUGUUGGGGAAGAAAAGCAUUCGAUUAAUACUCGGGUGUUCUGACGGUACCCAAAGAAUAAGCACCGGCUAACUUCGUGCCAGCAGCCGCGGUAAUACGAAGGGUGCAAGCGUUACUCGGAAUUACUGGGCGUAAAGCGUGCGUAGGUGGUUCGUUAAGUCUGAUGUGAAAGCCCCGGGCUCAACCUGGGAACUGCAUUGGAUACUGGCGAUCUGG
rnacentral:rRNA from 1 species